rnacentral:misc_RNA from 1 species
GGGAGAUUCUUUUCCGAGUGCAGCGGCGUAUCUAUUCGGUACACGGAAAUAAAAAAAAAAAUUUAUAAACGAGGAGGUUGGCCGUUGCUGUGACAGAGAGGUGUCGAUAGUUUGAGAGAGUAGGUGUUGAAAAGGCAGAUUCCUCCAAGGCCCAUUGGCGGAGGUUUCAACCCAUUAGCCCCCAAAACCAUUUCCUCUUAAGUUCAAUUCACCAACCCAUUUCAAUCAUCUCUCAUUCAUACACCUCUGUCUUCUCUAGAUCUCUCUCUCAAGACUUACAAGAUGGCAGCAACAUCAGCAGCAACCUUUACAGUUGGCUCAGCUGUCUCUUUGGGCCUGAAAGCGAGCCAACUUCCACAGUCAAAGCAGUUUGUUGUGAGGUUCAACUCCCAGAACUCGCUAACAAGCUUCAGUGGUCUCAAGGCAUCAACCUCUGUGAACUGUGAAUCAGAGUCAUCCUUCAUAGGCAAGGAAAGUGCUGUGGCCCUUCGAGGAUCUUUUGCUUCAAAAGCCCAGAAAUCAAGCCAGAGGUCACAGCAUCACCUAAAUCCCCAGGCCUCUUACAAAGUGGCAAUUCUUGGCGCUGCUGGAGGGAUAGGUCAGCCCCUUGCCCUUCUAAUCAAGAUGUCCCCAUUAGUUUC